rnacentral:rRNA from 1 species
GUAAAAGCUCACCAAGGCGACGAUCGAUAGCUGUUCUGAGAGGACGACCAGCCACACUGGGACUGAGACACGGCCCAGACUCCUACGGGAGGCAGCAGUGGGGAAUAUUGGACAAUGGGCGAAAGCCUGAUCCAGCAAUGCCGCGUGAGUGAUGAAGGCCCUAGGGUUGUAAAGCUCUUUUACCCGGGAAGAUAAUGACUGUACCGGGAGAAUAAGCCCCGGCUAACUCCGUGCCAGCAGCCGCGGUAAUACGGAGGGGGCUAGCGUUGUUCGGAAUUACUGGGCGUAAAGCGCACGUAGGCGGCUAUUCAAGUCAGAGGUGAAAGCCCGGAGCUCAACUUCGGAAUUGCCUUUGAAACUAGAUAGCUUGAA